rnacentral:rRNA from 1 species
GAUGAACGCUAGCGGCAGGCCUAAUACAUGCAAGCCGAACGGUAAGUUGAGUAGCAAUAUUCAACCAAGAGUGGCGUAAGGGUGCGUAACACGUAUGCAAUCUGCCCGCAACAGGAGGAUAGCUCAGGGAAACUUGAAUUAACCCUCCAUAAGACCACGCGAGGGCAUCUGAGGGUGGUUAAAUCUGAGGAGGUUGCGGAUGAGCAUGCGCAUGAUUAGCUAGUUGGUGGUGUAACGGACCACCAAGGCGAUGAUCAUUAGGGGAACUGAGAGGUGGAUCCCCCACACUGGCACUGAGAUACGGGCCAGACUCCUACGGGAGGCAGCAGUAGGGAAUAUUGGACAAUGGGUGCGAGCCUGAUCCAGCCAUGCCGCGUGCAGGAAGACGGCCUUCUGGGUUGUAAACUGCUUUUAUCUGUGGAUAAAAAGGCCUUGCGAGGCAAACUGAAGGUAACAGAUGAAUAAGCCACGGCUAACUACGUGCCAGCAGCCGCCGUAACAC